GAACCUUUGGCGCAGCGGUAGCGCGUAUGAUUCCAGUUCAUGUGACUAAUCACACGAGGAUUCCAUAAGGUCGUCCGUUCAAUCCGGGCAAGGUUCA